rnacentral:rRNA from 1 species
UACGUAGGGUGCAAGCGUUGUCCGGAAUUAUUGGGCGUAAAGAGCUCGUAGGCGGUUUGUUGCGUCGGCUGUGAAAACCUGAGGCUCAACCUCAGGCCUGCAGUCGAUACGAGCAGACUAGAGUGUUGCAGGGGAGACUGGAAUUCCUGGUGUAGCGGUGAAAUGCGCAGAUAUCAGGAGGAACACCGAUGGCGAAGGCAGGUCUCUGGGCACUUACUGACGCUGAGGAGCGAAAGCGUGGGGAGCGAACAGG